GACAAAAAAAGUGCAAAGUGCAAAACUUACACAUGAAACUCUUUUUAAUCUUUUUCACUUUUCAUCUCACUCUCUUCAUCACUCUCUCUCUCUCUCUUUUUCAUUCAAAAAGAAAAGCGACAUGACUUUUAGAGAG
ensembl:ncRNA C05B10.21 ncRNA